rnacentral:rRNA from 1 species
CCUACGGGUGGCAGCAGUAGGGAAUCUUCCACAAUGGGCGAAAGCCUGAUGGAGCAACGCCGCGUGGGUGAAGAAGGUCUUCGGAUCGUAAAACCCUGUUGUUAGAGAAGAAAGUGCGGGAGAGUAACUGUUCACGUGUCGACGGUAUCUAACCAGAAAGCCACGGCUAACUACGUGCCAGCAGCCGCGGUAAUACGUAGGUGGCAAGCGUUAUCCGGAUUUAUUGGGCGUAAAGGGAACGCAGGCGGUCUGUUAAGUCGGAUGUGAAAGCCUUCGGCUUAACCGGAGUAGUGCAUGGGAAACUGGGAGCCUUGUGUGCAGCAGAGGCGAGUGGAACUCCAUGUGUAGCGGUGAACUGCGUCGCUAUCUGGCAGAACACCAGUGGCGAACGCGGCUCUCUGGUCUGUACCUGACGCUGCGGUUCGAAAGCGUGGGUAGCAAACAGGAUUAGAUACCCUAGUAGUC